rnacentral:rRNA from 1 species
UACGUAGGGUGCAAGCGUUAUCCGGAAUUAUUGGGCGUAAAGAGCUCGUAGGCGGUUUGUCGCGUCUGCUGUGAAAACCCGAGGCUCAACCUCGGGCCUGCAGUGGGUACGGGCAGACUAGAGUGCGGUAGGGGAGAUUGGAAUUCCUGGUGUAGCGGUGGAAUGCGCAGAUAUCAGGAGGAACACCGAUGGCGAAGGCAGGUCUCUGGGCAUUAACUGACGCUCAGGAGCGAAAGCGUGGGGAGCAAACAGG